rnacentral:tRNA from 1 species
GGUGAGGUGCCUGAGUGGCCGAAAGGAACGGUUUGCUAAACCGUCGUACGGGUAACACUGUACCGAGGGUUCGAAUCCCUCCCUCACCGCCC